rnacentral:rRNA from 1 species
AGUGAACGCUGGCGGUAGGCCUAACACAUGCAAGUCGAACGGCAGCACAGUAAGAGCUUGCUCUUACGGGUGGCGAGUGGCGGACGGGUGAGGAAUACAUCGGAAUCUACUUUUUCGUGGGGGAUAACGUAGGGAAACUUACGCUAAUACCGCAUACGACCUACGGGUGAAAGCAGGGGAUCUUCGGACCUUGCGCGAUUGAAUGAGCCGAUGUCGGAUUAGCUAGUUGGCGGGGUAAAGGCCCACCAAGGCGACGAUCCGUAGCUGGUCUGAGUGGAUGGUCAGCCACACUGGAACUGAGACACGGUCCAGACUCCUACGGGAGGCAGCAGUGGGGAAUAUUGGACAAUGGGCGCAAGCCUGAUCCAGCCAUACCGCGUGGGUGAAGAAGGCCUUCGGGUUGUAAAGCCCUUUUGUUGGGAAAGAAAAGCAGCAGGUUAAUACCCCGCUGUUCUGACGGUACCCAAAGAAUAAGCACCGGCUAACUUCGUG